rnacentral:lncRNA from 13 species
AUGUUCAACGGCUCAGACACAAGACAUAUGUGUCAGGGUCUACAGACAAUCACAGACUGCAAAGGGAAAACCAGCCACGCCGCAGACAGCAAUGUCUUGCUUCUGGGUAAGCUAAACACCUUAUUCGCCCUCUUUGAGGAUAACACAGUGCCACUGACGCGGCCAGCUACCAAGGACUGUGGGGUCUCCUUCUCCGUGAUCGACGUGAGUAAGACAUUUAAGCGUGUUAACCUUCGCAAGGUUGCCGGCCCAGACGCCAUCCCUAGCCGCAUCCUCAGAGCAUGCGCAGACCAGCUGACUGGAUUGUUUACAGACCUAUUCAAUCUCUCCGUAUCCCAGUCUGCUGUCCCCACAUGCUUCAAGAUGUCCACCAUUGUUCCUGUACCCAAGAAAGCAAAGGUAACUGAACUAAAUGACUAUCGGCCUGUAGCAGUCACUUCUGUCAUCAUGAAGUGCUUUGAGAGACUAGUCAAGUAUCAUAUUGCCUCUAUCUUACCUGACACCCUAGACUCACUUCAAAUUGCUUGCCGCCCCAAUAGAUCGACAGACGAUGCAAUCGCCAUUGCACUGCACACUGUCCUAUCCCAUCUGGACAAGAGGAAUACCUAUGUAAGAAUACUGUUAAUUGAUAUUAGCUCAGCAUUCAACACUAUAGUACCCUCCAAGCUCAUCAUUAAGCUCGGGGCCCUGGGUCUGAACCCCGCCCUGUGCCACUGGGUCCUGAAAUUCCUGACGGGCCGCCCCCAGGUGGUGAAGGUAGGAUACAACAUUUCCACUUCGCUGAUCCUCAACACAGGGGCCCCACAAGGGUGCGUGCUCAGCACCCUCCUUUCCUCCCUGUUCACCCAUGACUGCGUGGCCACGCACUCCUCCAACUCAAUCAUCAAGUUUGCAGAUGACACAACAGUAGUAGGCCUGAUUACCAACAAUGAUAAAACAGCCUACAGGGAGGAUGAGGGCCCUGGUAGUGUGGUGCCAGGAAAAUUACCUCUCACUCAACUUCAACAAAUCAAAGGAGCUGAUCAUGGACUUCAGGAAACAGCAGAGGGAGCACCCCCUUAUCCACAUCGACAGGACCACAGUGGAGAAGAUGGAAAGCUCCUCGGCAUACACAUCACCAACAAACUGAAAUGGUCCACCCACACAGACAGUGUGGUGAAGAAGGUGCAACAGCGCCUCUUCAACCUCAAGUGGCUGAAGAAAUUUGGCUUGGCAGCUAAAACCCUCACAAACUUUUACAGAUGCACAAUUGAGAACAUCCUGUCGGGCUGUAUCACAGCCUCGUAUGGCAACUGCACCGCCCGCAACCGCAGGGCUGUCCAGAGGGUGGUACGGUUUGCCCAAUGCAUCACUGGGGGCAAACUACCUGCCCUCCAGGAUACCUACAGCAAUAUUUUAUCAAAUCAUUUUUAUAUAUUUUUUAUUUGA